AUUGAACGCUGGCGGCAGGCCUAACACAUGCAAGUCGAGCGGAUGAAGGGAGCUUGCUCCUGGAUUCAGCGGCGGACGGGUGAGUAAUGCCUAGGAAUCUGCCUGGUAGUGGGGGAUAACGUCCGGAAACGGGCGCUAAUACCGCAUACGUCCUGAGGGAGAAAGUGGGGGAUCUUCGGACCUCACGCUAUCAGAUGAGCCUAGGCCGGAUUAGCUAGUUGGUGGGGUAAAGGCCUACCAAGGCGACGAUCCGUAACUGGUCUGAGAGGAUGAUCAGUCACACUAGAACUGAGACACGGUCCAGAGGCCUACGGGAGGCAGCAGUCGGGAAUAUUGGACAAUGGGCGAAAGCCUGAUCCAGCCAUGCCGCGUGUGUGAAGAAGGUCUUCGGAGUGGAAAGCAUUUUAAGUUGGGAGGAAGGGCAGUAAGUUAAUACCUUGCUGUUUUGACGUUACCAACAGAAUAAGCACCGGCUAACUUCGUG
rnacentral:rRNA from 1 species